rnacentral:rRNA from 1 species
UAAUACAGAGGGCGCGAGCGUUGUCCGGAAUCACUGGGCGUAAAGGGCGCGUAGGUGGCCAUCAUAAGGCCGCGGUGAAAGUCUGGAGCUCAACUCCAGAUCGGCCGCGGCGACUGUGAGGCUUGGGCACUGUAGAGGCAGAUGGAAUUCCGGGUGUAGCGGUGGAAUGCGUAGAGAUCCGGAAGAACACCAGUGGCGAAGGCGGUCUGCUGGGCAGUGGGAGCGCAAGCUCCUUAUAGCCGACACUGAGGCGCGACAGCGUGGGGAGCAAACAGGAUUAGAUACCCUGGUAGUCCACGCCGUAAACGAUGGGCACUAGGUGCUCUGGGGAGCGACCCCCGGGGUACCGGCGCUAACGCAUGAAGUGCCCCGCCUGGGGAGUACGGCCGCAAGGCUG